GAUGAACGCUGGCGGCGUGCUUAACACAUGCAAGUCGAACGGAAAGUCCCAAGCUUGCUUCGGUACUCGAGUUGCGAACGGGUGAGUAACACUUGGGUUAUCUGUCCUGCACUUCGGGAUAAGCCUAUGAAACUUGGUCUAUUACCGGAUAGGACUUCUUCCUUUUGGUUGUGGUGGAGAGUUUUUUCGGUGUGGGUUGAGUACGCGGCCUAGCAGCUUGCUGGUGGGGUCAUGUCCUACCAAGUCGUCGACGGGUAGCCGGCGUGAGAGGGUGAGCGGCAACAUUGAGACUGGGAUAGGGACCAGACUCCGACGGGAGGGAGAAGGAGGAGAGAGGGAAAAAGGGGAGCGAGCGUGAUGCAGAGACGCCGCGGGGGGGAUGACGGCGAUGGGGUUGGAGACGCAUUGCGCUAGGAACGAAGCGUUUUGUGACGGUACCGGGAGAAGAAGCACCGGCUAACUACGUG
rnacentral:rRNA from 1 species